UUGGGUGUUGGAAAAACCUCGCCGAUUCCAGCAAUAACAGGUGAUAUGGGAUGGACUUCUAUACUUGUAAACAAUCAAUGUAAUAUAGUUCGUUUAUGGUGUAGACUUAUGAAAUUGCCUGAUUUCAGGAUCAGUCGUAAAGUAUUCCCUUGGGAUAUCGACCUUUCCACACGCUACAAGAACACCUGGUUCAACAGUGUUAAAACAAUAUUGAACAAUAGUGGUCUAUCAGCCUUAAUUAACUGUACAAACAACCAUGAUACGAUCUCAACAAAAUGCGUAAUUGAAUCCGUUAAAACUAAACUGGUAGAUACUUUUAAAAGUGAAUGGAUUAUUAAUGUUCAGAACAUGCCAAAACUAAGAACAUACAAGUUACUUAAGACCGAAUUUUGUACUGAACCGUAUGUUAAAAAGUUCUUGUCCAGAAAACAGCGAUCGAGUAUAGCUAGAAUUCGAUGCGGUACACUACCUUUAGAAGUCGAACGUGGUCGAUAUCGAAAUAUUCCAGCCGACCGGAGAAUCUGUAAAGUGUGCAACUCCAAUGUGACUGAAGAUGAAAUCCACUUUUUGUUUUUGUGUAACCGUUACUCUGUUAGAAGGAACGAACUCAGACGAGAACUCAUCUCAGUUGACUUUGACUCCCCAGAAGAAACACUAAAAGAACUGUUAAUCAGCAACCCGAAAACGUUGGCAAACUUUAUCAUAGACUGUUUAAGGAUAAGACAAGAUGUUAUAUAAACAUUUUUACUUUUACAAAACUACACGUCGUAAAAACUGUAAAACUUAAUAUUUUAUAUCAAAUCAAAUGAAGCUGUCCCAAGUCAGGAGCCUCUGGCCUUUGUUAGUCUUGUAUUAUUUUAAUUUUAGUUUCUUGUGUACAAUUUGGAAAUUAGUAUGGCGUUCAUUAUCACUGGACUAGUAUAUAUUUGUUUAGGGGCCAGCUGAAGGACGCCUCCGGGUGCGGGAAUUUCUCGCUACAUUGAAGACCUGUUGGUGACCCUCUGCUGUUGUUUUUU
rnacentral:lncRNA from 1 species